rnacentral:lncRNA from 1 species
CCCAGGUGAAUCAGGCUGUUGUGGAGGAGGCAAUGACUUUGUGGGGUGCAGGGAGAAGGGUCACACAGAGUGAAAAGCUCAUGAGGAGGAAGGGAAACUGCAACAUUUCUUUGUACCACGGGAUUUGCUAUUGUGAGGCCGUGGGUUUCUACAGCAAUAAUGCUGUAUGAGGAGAGGGGAUUAAGCCUCAUCUGCCCAGAAAAGUCAGUGAGCAGGAGCAUUACAGGGCAAGAUCAAAUUCUGGGCUGAUUUACACCCUCAGAAUGCUGGAGGUACCAAGGGUAUGAAGCUGGGGGAGAAUUUGUCCCCUCCUUGCCCAAGCUGGGACAGGAGGUCAGUAGGUCUCACACUCGGUGGUGGCAGUGGAGCAGAUGUCACAGUCACAGCAGAUGGCCACUGGGUAGGUGUAGAAGGGGUCCACGUCAGGGGCACACCUGGGCAGCUUCACCGUCACCAUCCUGGUCUCCUUGUAGGUGCAGAUCCAGUGGUGGGACUCGAUGUAAGGAGGCUCCAGGAUGGGUUUCUACAGGGGAGAAAUGCUGGCCUCAGGCAAGCUGCAAGACAAACAUCUGGAGCCCAAAUUUCCUCAAGGGGAUUUUGUGUGAAUAGAGGAGCUACUGGAUCAGGUGGAAGGGGCCAUGGAAAUAAAUUUUAGGCUACAUCCUUCAACCCUUCCCUCUUGGAGCCCUGCCAUGGAGGGGAGUGGGUGCAUGUAUGUGUUUCAGUUUGCUUAAAGCAUAAAGCUCCAAUUAAAACCUGCUUGAAGGAAGACAAAAUUUAUCCCAAAAGCUGUUUUUUAGCAGAGUAUGAGUGUUUCAACCAAAUGCUGCCAAAAGCAGCUGCUUUCUUCCAAGAGCAUUGAUUUUCCAUUAAACAUACUCUUUCCAGCAAAACCCUUCAUGUGCAAAGCUGCCUAAGAGCAGGGGUGCAUCCAGGUGCCAAAGGCUGGGGCUUUUUCUCAGCCAGACCAGGCUUCCCUGUCAGGCUGCCCUUCCCACAAAUCCCAAUGGCUGUACACUGUGGGGAAAGAUCUUGGCACAGCAGCCAGCAUAGAAGUCUGCAAUUCCUCAGGAGAAAAUCAGCUUGGCUAGAGACCUCAGCUAUCAGAAGAUGGGAGAAAGCCUUGAAACCCACCCUGCCAUGUGGUAUCACAGUGGUAUUGGUUUUGCUGAAAAAUCAGUUUCUCCUUAACAGAGGCACCCAUUUUCCAAAGACUCCAGGAAUGGGCAGCACACACACAGGAAUGGGAGCCCACUGCCUAACGUGGAGACACUUUAAUUUCUUUCUUUGCCUCUGUGCUGUGCAAGGAGCCCUCCCUGGGAACCAAGAAGUGGAAGAGAACAAAUACAACAUUUCAGCAAGGUGAUGUGCAGAAACUCUCCCUCUUACAAAGCCCAUCCAAACACAUCGUGGUGCCUUCUGGAAGCUGUUGAACCCACAGCCAGGUGCAUUCAGCUGAACUACACCCCAGAGGUUCUGCAGUACAGCAGGAGAGGCUGCAAGGUUUUGGAAGCAAGAGGCUGCAAGGUCUUGGAAGGUCUUACUUGGGAGCAGGGGGAAGCAGGGAUACAGAGAUCCCUCACAGGCACCUUAUCCCAGCCUGGAACCUGGCCACUGGUGGCCCUUCCCCUCAUCCCAGCAAGUCACGCAGAAGGGGACUCAGGGCUGGCACACAGACCCUGGCUCCUCCUCUGGUCACUGAUAGAGUCUUUGUCUUCCUGUGGACAAAAUCCCUCUGAGUUACUCGAGGUUUUCUGAAUAAAUUAAACGGGGAUCGGCCCCUUGAGCUUUUCAGUGGCAGAAUGGCAAAGACAAUCGGAAACUUAUUCUCUGACGUGUGUGGAUGAACUUACGCUCUUUCUUUCUCCUUGUGUACACCCCUAAAGCUUAAGUACCUCAUAUUUAUACAGGGCUGUGACUUAAAACGGGACCAUAUUAGAAACAGACAUUAUAUUUGGGAGCUGCAUUUUGGAACAAAAUAUAUUACCCGUUAAUUGGGAGCUCCAUUUUAAUCUCCAAGGAAUACUGUUUUUUCAAGCGGAGUAAUAAAGUCCCCUCCUCCUUAAGUUACCCAUCAUCACUCAGCCUGGGAGGAGAGGGGCAGGUGGAGGAAUGUGGGGUUGCUGCUCCCAGAAGUGGAAAAUUUCCCUAAAAAGAUCUGUCACAGACUGCAGCAGUGUGAAGGCUUUCCCUGCAGAGCAGUGGGAGUUUGCCUGGAAGACAUAAAGUCACCAGCCCAUGCUUCAGCCCCACUGAAAUCUCCAUAUCACAGAUUUGGUUUGCAGCAUAAGCCUUUCUUUGAGCUCACACAAAGCCAAGAGCUGCACAGCUGGGAGCCGAGCACCCCUGAAUUUGUGCUACAAUCUCAGCAUCUCCAGAGUGUUACUGGAGUUGCCAGUACCAGCAGCCAGUGCACGGGACUGGUGCCAUCCCUCUCCCAGGGCUGGAUGUCCCUUCAGCACAGCUCAGACUGCCAGGCAGUGAUCAGAGCUGGACAGACAGGGGGGACAUGGCCAAGGUGACCUGAGGAACCCUGAACUCCUCACACCUGAGCAGCCCAGCACCCACCAAGACCCUCCGAUACCUGUUGACCUUCUGUCUCAGCAAAGAAAGCACAAUUUCUCUGGAACAGCUCCUCUGUCAAGAGAAGAGAGCUGGGAAGUAGCUCUAAGCCACGAGGUCCAUUUUACAAUUCACAUAUUAUCACUGCAUUUAAAUAAAUCUAUCUUAGAAACUCCAGAUCUGACACUGAAUUUUGAGAAAGCUACUGCAUGGGGCACAGACUGGUGUGUGCUGUCCUCAGCUGGACAGACCAAAAUUAAGCGAGCUGGGACUGCCAUUGGCUGAUGCUUGAGUCUCCAGGCUCCUCUUAAACAAAAUUAUUUAAAUUUGCUAAAUCAGAGCUCUGUAUCAGCCCAUGAUGUUUGCAGCAUAUAUGUUACCAUGUAUACACUAGAGUCUUACAUGUGAUUAAAGAUGGCAUGAUUAUAUAUAACCUUCAAGAGGUAAAAAAUGCUAAAAUGCCUUAUUUUUUUAAAAAAAAGGUAUAUGUAGAGCAAAACAGACAAACUUCAGAACAAAUAAAACAUUUAUCCUUUGCCACUUUAGCAAAUUCUGCUGCUUUAUUCAUAUGACAGGGAGCAAACACAGACAUGCACUCACCUAACUCGUUGGAGUCAGAAUUCCUUUUGCAGUUUUAAAUUGCAGAUGGUGUUUCAGGAUGUCAGAGUGAGCAGCAGGAGACCUGCACUGCAAUCUCUGUCAGCUUUGUGACCAGAAGAUCUCCACAGCAGCUGCUACUGGGAUGUCUAAUUGCUCAAAUUUAUAGAAAGGUUCUUGUCAAUCAAGGCAGAUCCUUACUUGAACUACCCAAGGCAUCAAAGCCAUUGACUGUAAAGCAAGGCUCUCCUUUCCAGCAGUGAUUAGCUUCAAGGAAUUAUUGUUAUUGCAGGUUAUUGUUUCAUAAUCUGAUCAAAAAAGGAGUAUCUCAGUGAGUGAAAUUAUGAGCAUGCACUGGGGCAAGAUGGAUCAUCUUUUCCAUAAUGGAUUAUCAACAUCUUUGUGAAGGAAUUGGAAGUUGGCUCUGAAAUUAUCGUUACCCCUAUAAUUAACAAGCCCUAAGUAAACAUCCUCAAGGGAGACUUCUCAGAUAUUUGUACAAAAAAUUACCUGGAUUUUUGUCAAUUGCAGAAAUCUUUUUUGAUUUCUCUGUACAAGCAAGGGCAAGGGAUGUGGGGAGAAGGUGAGAGCUUGCAAGGAAAGAAAGUGUUCUUCUCUUGGUAAGCUAGGCAGCUGAAACACAGGUGAGCUCCACUGUGAAAGGAAAUUUAGAAACCAUUGUCCUCUGCCUUUACUGCAAACCAAAUUUUCAGCUGCCCACAGGACAGGGAGCAGCUGAGGAACUUGGUUCUGUGAAAAACUUGCUGGUCAGUGAGUUAAUAAAAAAUGAGUGGGAGAAAGAAGUGGAGCCAUAAGCUCACACAGUGGCCUUGGGAAAGUCACCUCCCUUCCUUUCCACCAUGGAUGGACAGUGACUUCCCAGCUCCAGUGCCCAGAACAAUCCAGAAAAGACAAGUGUCAGGGAUUAUGGACCCCUCAGGAUGAUGUUGUCAGAGGCAGCCACAGCAAUACAACCCAGCCAUGAGAAUAGAAAACACAGGGGAAACUUUGAUUCAAUUAAAUCCAUGCUUCAAUGUCUUAGAGGGAAAAACUAAAUAAGUAGAAAUCAAAAAAAGAGUAGAGAAAAAAACCACAGCAACCAAACAAAACAGCAUCUGUUGAUGUCCAGAACAUGCAUAUUAUCAAAUAUGAAGCAGUGAUUACUAUGAUCUUGUUAAUUUACCUUACAAAUAUCCACAUAUUUCUGAUGGAUUCCAUUCAGGCUUUCUGUAGUAUGAGCUAUGGAAAACAGCAAAUUGCCAUUGAGGAAAAGAGAUAUUGAACCAUUCAGGAACCAACAAGGCACACCACAAUGGUGCUCUCCCAUUUUUAGGGUAAAUAACCCAUAGCUCGAGGUCCCUGUUUCACUGCCAAGGUCAGCAGCCCACAUUUGGUGCAGCAGCAGAGCUCACACUUGUUUCAAAGCCCUGGGAACCCCAGAGCACUUGUUGGGUUUCAUUACUCAGCUUGGAGUAGCCACAGAAGCUGGAAUGUAAAAGGCUGGUUAUUUACUCUCAAGGUCUACAUUUCUGUCUAAAUUAGGAAACAGUGAUUGGAAAAAGUGAAAGAGGGAAGGGAUUGUCUGAAAAACAGAAAAGCAGCAGGUAUUUGGUGCUGUUGCCAUAUUGCCAUCAUGACAUGAGCAACAGCUGCUUCAAAUAAUUAAUUCACUUAACAGACACUAAAAGAAUAAAAAAAA